UUGCCUUACCUCAACAUCCCGCUUUUAGAGGGGAGAGUCCCACCGGCCUUAGGAGCCGGCCAUUCUUGGCCCCACCCAAGUGAAAGCU
rnacentral:tRNA from 1 species